rnacentral:lncRNA from 11 species
GGUGGGGUAGGGUGGGGGGGGUCUUGCUGUGGGAGGGGGCACGGGACCCUCCCCUUCCUGGUCUGACGGGCCCCGCCCUCCCUCCCUCCCUCCCUCCCUCCCUCCCCGGCUGCAGGUACGUGGUCUUCCACCAGGACCUUUGCGCCUGCGCAUCGACCUACCCGGACCACGUCCAGCGCGAACUCUGCUCCUACAGCACCUCCCUCAGCCGAUACUUCCACCUCCGCGACGUCUUCCGGGGGAAACCAGUAAGAAGAAUAGUGUCCGCAGCUGAAGAGGAAGAACCGGCUGGAAAUGUGGAAGGAGGAGGAGGAGGAGAAGGAGGAAGAGAAGACGACGGAGGAGGAGGAGGAGGAGAAGAGAAGGAGGCGGAAGUGGAGCCCGGAAGCGGAGAGGAGAGGAAGCAGGAGGAGGAAGAGAAAGACGGAGGAGGAGGAGAGGCGGCACACAGCAGCGCCAAGGAGGAGGAAGAGAAGGAGGAAGAAGAAGAGGAGGAGGAGGGCUCUGCCCCAGAGAGUGAGGGCUCUCCUGGAAAUGUCCGGGAAGAAGGCGGAACAGGAGCCGAGGAGCCGGCCCCUCCUCCGCCCCCGCCUUCGGAAGGCUCCGAGCAGGAAGAGGAAGGGGAGGAGGAAGAGGAGGAGGGGUCCUCCUUCUCCACGUCCCGCGGAAACACCUACCGCGUGAACCUUCGCCUGCGGAAGUCCCAGAUCCGGAAGCCGGAGAAGUACUUCGCCGGGAAGCUGAAGGGCCAGCUCUUGCCCGCCUACCUGGAGCAGGCCUACCUCUCCGAGGCCUUCGUGGCCGAGCUCAGGAGGAGGGUCCGGCUGCAGUCUUUGAGCACCUGAGGCCUGGUUGCGGAGCAGACGCGCAGGCGGAGGCCGUGACGCGGCCAAGAAGGAGGAGCUGCAGUCGGAGCUCCCAGCUGCGCCUCCACCUGCACGAGCCCCGCCGCGGCCGCAUCGAGAAGGACGUCUUCCACCUCCGGGCCGGUACGGGCGCCGCGUGGGUGGUGGUGGUGGUGGUGGUGGGAGCCGGACCCCUGACCCGCGUCCCCUUCCUCCUCCUCAGCGGAGCUGCGCCUGCACAGCGAGCGCCUGGUGCGCCACUGCGCGGGGGUGGUGGAGGCGCUGCACAAGGAGCGCGGGGCCUUCCUGCGCCUGCGCGACGAGCAGAACCAGCUCAGCCGGACCUUCCGCCUCCGCAUCCAGGACAUGGAGAACGUCUUCCUCACCGAGAGCCGGGCCGACAGGUCAGGGGUGGGCGGCAAAGGGUG